rnacentral:Y_RNA from 2 species
GGCUGGUCCGAGUGCAGUGGUGUUUACAACUAAUUGAUCACAACCAGUUGCAGAUUUCUUUGUUCCUUCUCCACUCCCAAUGCUUCACUUGACUAGCCUAAA